rnacentral:lncRNA from 1 species
CCCGAGUUUUGGUGGGCUAGAAUUAAGCGGCCCGCGGGUUUUUUCAUUUCUUUUUUAAAAAAAAAAUAAAAUUUGCAAAUCAAAAAUUCACAAUAAUAUUUAAAUUUUAAUCAAUCAUUCUCUCAUGUCUCCACUUUCUUUCUAGGGAAAGUUUAGAAGAAUGAACAAAAAAUUCAAUCUAAAGUUGUUGAUUGAUAAAUGAUAAAGUACACAAAUUCAAACCAAGACUAUUUAUUUCAUUUGACAUGUCACCACCAACAGAAAUAAGCUCCAAAUGCAUACUUGCAAUCCCAUCUGCUAGUGAAAGAAUGGCUUGACAUCCUGUGUAGAAAGAUUCAUAAAUGUGUCAAUUGUCAAUAUAUAUGGUAGAGGCAGCAGACAGAGUAUUAAAAUAAACAACUACAUCAAGGAAAGGACAAGGGAGUCGCACCAAAAAACCAAGCCUUGUAUUGGUCAGCCAUAGAAUGGGCAGUAAAUUAAAAGAGUUUAUGUGAUAACACAUAGCCAAUGAUACCUAUUGCCUAACAAAAUAUAAUCCUUUAAAGUAUGAUGUGUGCCCACAUUCAUUCCAACAGUAUAUUAAUCUAUGUGGAUCAUAUUGGGCAAUAUUCAGCUUGAGAAAUAAUCAAUAGUCAGCUGCGCCAAAGUGUACCACAUGUCCAAAGAAGAAAAUAAACAAGGGGCAUAAAUUUAUGUGAACAAUGAGAACAAGCAAAUACAAUAUAUUACCUCAGUGCUUGAUAGACCGCGUAAUGAAUCCGUAAGACCAUCUCCGUAAGACCAUCUCCUGUGUAAAUAACAUAAAAUACCCUUUAGGAGGGGAAAGGAAGAGAAAAGGCUGAAACUGUUGAUAUAUAUCAAUAGCAAGUCCAGAAGUCAACCUGAGCAGUAAAAAUGUCAAGAAAUUUUUGGAUUUGACUGCCAAUGUCCAGAAGUCCAAAGUCCAAACCAUUAAUUCAGUAACAGUAUUGGCAUGUAGACCCUUUGAUUAAACAAAGCAGACGAAACAAAUAAUUUAGUUCUAUUAACCAUGAUUUAAAUCUAGUCUACAGAAUUCAAUAUAUCAUAAUAUNNNNNNNNNNNNNNNNNNNNNNNNNNNNNNNNNNNNNNNNNNNNNNNNNNNNNNNNNNNNNNNNNNNNNNNNNNNNNNNNNNNNNNNNNNNNNNNNNNNNGAGAGAGAGAGAGAGAGAGAGAGAGAGAGUCCGGUUCCUAUCCGGACUCCCGGACUUUCUUAAAAUACGGACUUUUUUUUUUGCUUUUUUUUUAAAAACAACUAAUAUUUUUUUAAAAUAUUUUAUGGAAUUGAAAUUUUUAUAUAAUACAGUGUUUUUGAUGUGAUUUGGAUACGUAUAACAAAACAGGUCUGUACAGUCUGUGCAGACUGUACAUACAUUUUUUGAUAUAGGUAUCCAAAUUACGUCCAAAACAUUGUAUUAUGAAAAAAUUUCAGUUCCAUAAAAUAUUAAAAAAAAAUUUGUUGUUUUAAAAAUAAAGCAAAAAAAAAAAAGUAAAUAGGGUCCGGAUUUGAUCAGGUCCGGGUCCGUGGUGUGUGUGUGUGUGUGUAUAUAUAUAUAUAUAUAGACUAUUAAAAGGAUAAUCAAAGAGGGAUGAAGAGAAAUGACACAAAUAUAAAUAAUUAAAUCGGUAAAGUCUAGAUCUAGUCUAAUCCGAUUCAUAAACCCUUAAAAUUUCACACCCAAUAAUAUAUAAACCACAGGUCCACAACCAGUCAACCACAAAGACAUACAGACUACAGUCAUACUCAUACAGAUAAAUUACCAAUUCAAACAAAAAUCGGUCAGAAUGAUUAUAAACAAUAGAUAAAAAUCUUAUUGAAACGAGAGCGAAAAAAAUACCUGAGACGAGGAGAAUAGAGUAGGGUUUUAGCAGGGGAGACGAGGAACUGUGAAGGCAAGCUUAUGCGUCGAGGUGGGGCUGUGAACUGUGAAGGCAAGACGAGUAGAAUGGAUUUGUGGAUCGAAGAGUCAAGAGGUGGGUCUGUGAAGUGUGAAGGGCCGAAGGCAAGCAUAUUCUAGAUCUGUCUCUGUUUUUACUUUUUAUGCCUUAGCGGCUAAGCCAGUUAGCCUUAAGGUUAAGGAGAUAAAGAUUAGAGUCUUUAGAGAUCAGAUGAUUUAGAUAGGGUUUUUUUUUAAGGCCGGACGGGCCGGGCCAUCAUUAGGCCGGGCUAAAAUUGGGCCGGGCCAAAACAGCCCAGGUUUUGAUGGGUCAAAAAAGUGAAGCCCACAGCCAAGUUUUUGACGGGCGGGCUGGCCCGGUCCGGUCCGCGGGAUUGGGCCGAUUUUGCCAGGUCUAGUACUUAUGGUUCUAAUUACAAGGUGUGGGACUUGUGUCCCACAUCGACGGUAUGAGACUUGUGUCCCACAUCGAUGGUAUGGGACUUUGAUGUGAGAUAUAGCUAGCUUUAGGUGUAGCUCUCCUAUGGUUUGUAACAAUUACUGUGAAACGUAGUGGGUUGCUGAAAAGAUUAACAAAAGACAAGAUGUGAAUUGAUUCGAGGUAAUCCGAGCCUCUAAUGAAUUUAAAGUUCAUAAAAUUACUUCUCAAUGCCUUCUCAUACAUACAUUGUUGGUUUAUUUAUAGGAAUAAAGCUGGCCUAAAACAAGGACCUAACCAAAAGAUUCGUACAAACUAAAUCAAAUCAGAACUUAUUUUAUUUUGAAAUAAAUGACUAACACUUAUGAUGGCAUCCACUAUGCUGCUACCAAACCUCCACAUUUCAUGCCCUGGUUCUUUCACAUGUAACAGUGUUAUUUAUUGGACAAAAAAUAGUGGGAGAACUAAAGUUAUAUUUAAUACUUGGGGUAAUAUUGAAAACUAAACAAUUAAUGCUUACUUAAAAUUCUUAAACGACUUAUAUUAAGAGACAACACAUUUCUCUAAAACGACUUAGAUUAAGGAACGAAUGGAGUAGUAGACAGGGGAAACAACAUUCUUAACAGUUCUUUCAACAUUCUAAACACCAUUAUUCAGGGGAUCUGAAUUGUCUUUUGCGUGACCAUAAACUUUUAAGGCGUACAACACAAUAUGGAGUGAUGCCACUUGAGCAAAUUCGAGGUACUUUAACCACUCUUCUUCAGUUUGACCCUUCCAAUAACAUAUAAAAAAACCCAAAAAUCAAUCUGCAAUAAAAAUUGUCAUGUGAUAACAUUACAUUAAUCUAUGUGGAUCAAAUUGCCUAACAAAAUAUAAUCCUUUAAAGUAUGAUGUGUGCCCACAUUCAUUCCAACAUUACAUUAAUCUAUGUGGAUCAAAUUGGGCAGUAUUCAGCUUGAGAAAUAAUCAAUAGUUAGCUGCGCCAAAGUGUACCACAUGUCCAAAGAAGAAAAUAAACAAGGGGCAUAAAUUUAUGAGAACAAGCAAAUACAAUAUAUUACCUCAGUGCUUGAUAUAUAUCAAUAGCAAGUCCAGAAGUCAACCUGAGCAGUAAAAAUGUCAAGAAGUUUUUGGAUUUGACUGCCAAUGUCCAGAAGUCCAAAGUCCAAACCAUUAAUUCAGUAACAAUAUUGGCAUGUAGACCCUUUGAUUAAACAAAGCAGACCAAACAAAUAUUUAGUUCUAUUAACCAUGUUUUAAAUCUAGUCUACAGAAUUCAGUAUAUCAUAUUAUCAUAUCACCAAAUUGACUUCAGAUAUACCAAAAAAGGUCUACCAAGUACCAGCUUUGGAGUCCAAAAUAUGUGGUUUAAGCACCAUGAGCAUUCUAAAUGCACUAGAAACUGAUGUCAUCAAAGCAAAUAAAAAGAUGCAGCAAUUUCCAUACAAAUAUAUAUAUAUAUAUAUAUAUAUAUAUAUAGACUAUUAAAUGGAUAAUCAAAGAGGGAUGAAGAGAAAUGACACAAAUAUAAAUAAUUAAAUCGGUAAAGUCUAGAUCAAGUCUAAUCCGGUUCAUAAACCCUUAAAAUUUCACACCCAAUAAUAUAUAAACCACAGGUCCACAACCAGUCAACCACAAAGACAUACAGACUACAGUCAUACUCAUAUAGAUAAAUUACCAAUUCAAACAAAAAUCGAUCAAAAUGAUUAUAAACAAUAGAUUAAAAUCUUAUUGAAACGAGAGUGGAAAAAUACCUGAGACGAGGAGAAUAGAAUAGGGUUUUAGCAGGGGAGAAGAGGAACUGUGAAGGCAAGCUUAUGCGUCGAGGUGGGGCUGUGAACUGUGAAGGCAAGACGAGGAGAAUGGAUUUGUGGAUCGAAGAGUCAAGAGGUGGGUCUGUGAAGUGUGAAGGGCUGAAGGCAAGCUAAUUCUAGAUAUGUCUCUGUUUUUACUUUUUAUGCUUAGCGGCUUAGCCAGUUAAGCCUUAAGGUUAAGGAGAUAAAGAUUAGAGUCUUUAGAGAUCAGAUGAUUCAGAUAGGGUUUUUUUAAGGCCGGACGAGCCGGGCCAUCAUUGGGUCGGGCUAAAAUUGGGCCGGGCCAAAACGGCCCAGGUUUUGAUGGGUCAAAAAAGUGAAGCCCGCAGCCAAGUUUUUGAAGGGCGGGCUGGCCCGCGGGAUUGGGCCGAUUUUGUCAGGUCUAGUACUUAUGGUUCUAAUUACAAGGUAUGGGAUCGAUGGUAUGGGACUUUGAUGUGAGAUAUAGCUAGCUUUAGGUGUGGCUCUCCCAUGGUUUGUAACAAUUACUGUGAAACGUAGUGGGUUGCUGAAAAGAUUAACAAAAGACAAGAUGUGAAUUGAUUCUAGGUAAUCCGAGCCUCCAAUGAAUUUAAAGUUCAUAAAAUUACUUCUCAAUGCCUUCUCAUACAUACAUUGUUGGUUUAUUUAUAGGAAUAAAGCUGGACUAAAACAAGGACCUAACCAAAAGACUCGUACAAACUAAAUCAAAUCAGAAACUUAUUUUAUUUUGAAAUAAAUGACUAACAGUUAUGCUGGCAUCCACUAUGCUGCUACCAAACCUCCACAUUUCAUGCCCUGGUUCUUUCACAUGUAACAGCGUUAUUUAUUGGACAAAAAAUAGUGAGAGAACCAAAGUUAUAUUUCAUACUUGGGAUAAUAUUGAAAACUAAUCAAUUAAUGCUUAAAAAUUCUCAAACGACUUAUAUUAAGAGACAAAAUAUUUCUCUAAAACGAUUUAUAUUAAGGAACGAAGGGAGUAGUAGACAGGGGAAACAACAUUCUUAACAGUUCCCUCAACAUUCUAAACACCAUUAUUCAGGGGAUCUGAAUUGUCCUUUUGCGUAACCAUAGACUUUUAAGGCGUACAACACAAUAUGGAGUGAUGCCACUUGAGCAAAUUCGAGGUACUUUAACCUCUCUUCUUCAGUAUGACCCUUACAAUAACAUAUAAAAAAAAACCAAAAAUCAAUCUGCAAUAAAAAUUGUCUAGUAACAUAUCAAUAUAUAGGUUUCUGCGCAAACAUAAAUGUGCACGCCUCUUUACACAACAACUAAUAAGAAAUAUACAAGUAUCAUUUUCCAUACAAAAAUACGGACAUAUAAUUACAUAACACAAAUAAUCAGUAUUUGCUAAUUUGUUAGUAUAUUUCAUAAUUAGUGUUUUAAUUAAAUAAUAAAAUCUUCCCAUUCUUCUUUCUCGUAAACUCUUCCAUUAAUUUUUACUUGAAAACUUUCGAGACAUUAGCUUUUUAUUUUUCUUGAAAAUCAUAUAUUACAUGAUAAAUAAAAUUAGCAAACAUAAUUAAUAAGUAAAACUCAAAAAGUUUUGUUAAUCAAUAUAGAUUCAAACAGAGUAUACAACAAUUCAUUCAAUCAAUCAAUUACUGAAAAUUAAUCAAUCUUGUUUCAAACAGAGUAUAAUCAAUCUUAUUUCAAACAAAAUUAUUAAAAAUUAAGCUGCUAACAUAUUCCUAAUUAAGCACAAUCCAAUAUACAACAAUUCAUUCAAUCAAUCAAUCAAACAUUUGAACCACAUAAAUUAACAACAAAUGGAAUUGAAUCGAAACCCACAUGCUCUGAAACUACAGUCAAAAUUAAAGAGGUAAAAAAGAAAAAAAAUCACAUGUCAAAUAUUCAAACAUUGAACGUUAAGAAUUGAGGAAACAUUGAACGUUGCUUUGGAGCUGUUCGUUACCAAGGAAAGGUCGAUUCGAGAAGUUGAUUUAAUCCAAGUUGACUUCGUUGUUCCUAAAAACAUAUUUUCAACGCCUUUGAAUACGAAAGUGAUGCUCUCGUCAAUUCUCUUUCCAAAAAAUUUAAAGUCUUACCUCGUGAUGAUGUUGUCAAAGGUGUUCAAAAAUGUUCUUCCGUUGCAGAGGAAUUCAUUGCUUAUUAUUUCAUAUUAUAGAACUCAAGGUCGAGUUUUCUCCAACAAGAGGAAAAUGAUGGGGACUCUAAGUCAAGGACAAAGAAUGAGAUUUUUUAUAUUUAUUAUUUGAGUUUUUAUUAUGUUUAAUAUAAAAGUCGUUGAUGUGAUUUAUGUACUUUAUUUAUUAGUGGAGAUUUAGGGAUAUUAAUUAGUAAUUAGGAAUUUUUAAUGUUUAGUAAGGGUACCUUAGUCUUUUAGUACUUUUAUUAUUCUUCAAGUAACAUUAAGGUUUUAAGUCUCUUUAAAUAGUGAUGUAAUCCCCACAAGUCUUUUAAACUACAAAUUAUUGAUAUUGAAAUUGAUUAUUUCAUUCAUACCGUAUAAGUAUCCUACCGUAGAUGUAUUUUAUCUAUCUUGGUGUUGAUACGUGGAGUGAAUACACGUGAGAGAUCCUAGCGGUCUAAACAUGGAGUUUAGAUCCUAUUUUAUUUUUUGUUAAUUUUUCAUCCCAGAUCUGUCCUACAUCAAUGAUGUUAUUAUUUUAUAGUAAUACAUGAUAUAUAUUUUUGAUUUUUCGUAGGUAAUAUACUGUUUAUCUUUGACAUUAAUGGUAUCCAAAUAUAGUUUACACUUUAUAGCACCCAUCCCAUAAUUUGAAACAUUGGAGGAUUAAAUGGCUGUGUAAAUUAAGAAGAAAGACGCGACUGUUGAUGAGGAUGGAAGCAAAAGAAAUUUAAUAUUAUUAGUUGAUAGCCCGUGCAAUGCACGGUCUAGUUUGAAAAAAUAUAUUAAUUAAAGCAUAAGAACAUCCGCUCAGUCUUAUUUCAUCAAACAGUUGAAAUGCCCUACCCAACCUAAUUAAGUAACAAUGCUAUAUAAAUAAUUAUGAAUUUUUUUUAGAUUUCACUUAAAUUAUGAAUCCUCAAAGUAGUAAUAAAAAAUAGAAAAAAACUAAUAAAUUUUGACAUACAUGUAGCCAACAACAAUAAAAUGUUUAUGACUGGUGUGGUGGGGUGUGUAUUUGGAUUCUAUUGUAAAAUGUUUGUUGUAUCUUUUGGUUUCUUGUUGAUUAUGCAAGGGGCCAAGGGCUAAUAAGAAGCUUCGAAAACUAAGUAGCUCAAAGGAUCUUAUAAAUGAGUUGAGAGCCAAACAGAAGCUACUAUUCUACUGCUAAGAUCAGAAUGGACCACUAUUUAUUUGAAAAGCUUUUUAGAAAAUAAGAGUUUCACAUAUUUUCCAACUGAAUGCCUAUCAAACACUACACAUAACUCUGACUUUGGUCAGAUUAUCAGGAGUAUCAGCAAAUCCAUAUAACUUGUACAAUAAAAGCAAUCAAAUUGUGAAUGUAAUCAAAAUUCCACAAUCUAAACAACAAUAGAUUCAAAAUAUUAACAAAAAUAAACAAACCAAUCAAAAUUAUACUAAAAAAGCAAACAAAUUUGGAAUAUAAAAACAAAAUCAUACCUUCUUCUUUCCAGCUAGCAAAUGAUAUUGCUUUCCAGCAAUUCAUUCCACCCCAAUGGCUCCAGAAUUCGUCACAAAAAAAUUACCUAAUCUAUGCAAACUCAUCCUAAUCAGUGGGCAGAACCAAUUUUUGCAUCACAUCCCAUUAAAGUCUAAAAUGUCAAUUUGCAACUUAUCAAACAUGUGGUGAGCAAGAACUCUAUUAGUACAUAACAACUCGGUAAAGAAUACCACAUUAUAAUCCCAAUAAUAAAAUCAAUAACCCAAAAUGAAAUCCGAUUCAUAUGAACACAAUUAUAUAAACAUAAACAUAAUUAAAAUAUCAUAGAAACCCACAUCAAAAUCAUACCUUAUCUGUGAAUUGUCAACUGAAAAACCACAAUCCGCCUUGUUCAUCCCCUUCCCGGAGUCAACCUCAUCCUCGUCGCCUGAAAACCCCUAACCUCACCCCCUAAAAACUUUACAUCAACCACCUAUUUAGCUUUCAUUUAGCUUUCAUUUACUGAGGUUGUGGUUUAUUUUGGAGAGGACGUAAAAUUAGGGAUGGGAGAAUCGCGAGAUUGUGAAAUCGAAGAGACGGAGGACGCUCUGGUUCUCAGCAAGUCAAAUAUCAAAUCAUUAGAAGCUGGAAUGGAAAAGGGACACGGAAGAGGGAAUUCGAAUUACAUUUAUAAUUUAAAGAUUUCCUCGAAAAGGGUUAUGGAAGAGGAAGAGGAAGAGGAAGUCAACUUAAUUUAACCGAGCUCACUGAUUUUUUA